ACAGAUUUCAGUCAACCAAAUCAUAGGGGAAGAAGAGGAGGACUAUAAAUAAGAAUGUAGCGAAAGGUAUCAAAAGGAGCCAUGGAGCAUCAUCUAGCAGCUGCGCUGAUGCUAUUUAUUUUGAAUUUUGGAGGUAUUGACAGUUCAUUGGUAGCAUCAACCCCCUUUCUGGCAGUAAAGAGGAGAGAGAGACUGAGACCCUUUUCAGCUCAGGGAGCACUGUCCUAAAGAUCGCUGAAAUCAAAGAAUGUGAAAAAGAAGGAACAAAAUAAGAUUCCUCUAUCCCAACAUUGUAUGAAGUUAAAGAAGCAGAAAAAAAUACCCCAUUACUAACACACAAAAGGAGUAAGAACAUAUUUGUCUCCAAAAGGAAAAUCUGGUACUCUUCAACUGACAAGUAGUCAGCUGCAUCAUUUGCAAGUUGUCGGACCUCCUGCAUGACAGCAAGUUUGCCCAGUCCCAGCAAGAAACACUGUGUUUUUUUUUCAGAGGCAAAGAUAAGCCUCUAAACUCAUUGUAAACCCCUGAGACUUUGCUCAGUAAACAGUGCAACAAAAGACAAGCCCCUGCAAAGCAGUGUGUGU